UAACAAUACGAUGCAAAAUUCCCUCAUUAUUGUGACGAUUGAGUAAUGUAAUGCAGCACCCAAAGCGUGUUUGUUGGUUUGUAAUUGUGCUUCACUCAAUUCAUACAGUACCCAUUUCUCGAGCUUUUGCACUUUACCAAUUUGAUUUAGUGAUAAAAU